rnacentral:rRNA from 1 species
GAUGAACGCUGGCGGCGUGCCUAAUACAUGCAAGUCGAGCGAACAGACGAGGAGCUUGCUCCUCUGACGUUAGCGGCGGACGGGUGAGUAACACGUGGAUAACCUACCUAUAAGACUGGGAUAACUUCGGGAAACCGGAGCUAAUACCGGAUAAUAUAUUGAACCGCAUGGUUCAAUAGUGAAAGACGGUUUUGCUGUCACUUAUAGAUGGAUCCGCGCCGCAUUAGCUAGUUGGUAAGGUAACGGCUUACCAAGGCAACGAUGCGUAGCCGACCUGAGAGGGUGAUCGGCCACACUGGAACUGAGACACGGUCCAGACUCCUACGAGAGGCAGCAGUAGGGAAUCUUCCGCAAUGGGCGAAAGCUUGACGGAGCAACGCCGCGUGAGUGAUGAAGGUCUUCGGAUCGUAAAACUCUGUUAUUAGGGAAGAACAAAUGUGUAAGUAACUAUGCACGUCUUGACGAUACCUAAUCAGAAAGCCACGGCUAACUACGUG